UUAAGGCACAAACUCUGCACCUAAACCCUGACGGAGUCUCGAACAUGUGAAAAAGGCCCUGUCCUGAAAAAAAGCUUACAAUCUAAUCGUAAUUCAGAAAUAUUACCGGAAUUAGAUGAAGUCACAGCUGUGGUCUCCUUUUGUAAACAAAGAUGAAUGUGAGAGGAGGAGGAGUGUGACAGAAGGAGCAGCUGCAGCUCCCUCCCCUUGUGACCACUUUCUUCCAGCCCCCACCACCAUCAGCUUCUACCUCUGCAUCCCAAGGCCUCAAAGAUGCUGGACGUUUUCAUCCUAAUGUUUUUUGCCAUCAUUGGCCUAGUCCUUUUAUCAUACAUCAUCUAUAUAUUGUGAGGAUCAUGCUAACCAUAGGGCAGAUCAAGUCCUUGUCUGCAGGUAAAUGGAUGUGCCAACAUCACCAAGACAUACAUGAAGCACCUUAAUCCAUUGUUUACCAGAGAAGUGUCUGGAAGGCAGCAAAACGAUGGGAGUUGUGGUCUAUGAAAAACCAAGAUCAUUAAGGUGUCCUUCACACAGAUGAGUGUAAAGCAAGAGAUGUCCAAGAUGAAGCCACCACAAAAAUUUCCAAUUUUACUACAUUUCAUGGAUCAAUGACAAUACACAAUAAACACAACAGAAAAUAAAGUUCAGGUUUUUCCUCAU